rnacentral:tRNA from 1 species
GAUGUUUAGACAUAUGUUUAAAUUCUACGGUUCUUAAAGACCAUAAAUUUAAAAAAAGGCUUUAUGAAGAAAGCUCUUUAUGCUUUUCCAGUGAUUUAAGAUGAUACCGGGGAAGGUUUUCCGGUUUAUCCCGGAGGGCUUGUAGCUCAGUUGGUUAGAGCGCGCGCUUGAUAAGCGUGAGGUCGGAGGUUCAAGUCCUCCCAGGCCCACCAAUUUAUGCUCGUUUUUUGCUUAUCCAAGAGUAUGAAGCUUAAGCGUAUUAAAGCCUCUUUUAAUCUUUGUUUAUUUUAAAGAUUUAAUUUUAUCAUUCAAAGAUUGUUUGUUAAAUUUAUUCUAUUAAGUUUGUCAAAGGGGGAGUUUGUCAAAGGAGGUUUUUAAAUCCCUUCAUUUUGAAAUUCCUUCAAGGUAUAGAGAAAUUUAAAUGAUGCUCUCUCAAAUCAACCUCAAGAAAAUUUAUCAACUUGAAUCAUUUAUACGACUUUGAUUUGUACUAUUUUGAUUUGCAUCAUUUAAAUUUCUCUAUAC